CAAUAGCGUAUAUUAAAGUUGUUGCAGUUAAAAAGCUCGUCGUUGGAUUUGUGGCGUACGGUGUGUUCCGGGCACUUGUUGUCUGAGUAACCUGCUGUUGCCAUCCUUGGGUGGAACCUGUGUGGCAUUAGGUUGUCGUGCAGGGGAUGCCCAUCAUUUACUGUGAAAAAAUUAGAGUGUUCAAAGCAGGCUUAUGCCGUUGAAUAUAUUAGCAUGGAAUAAUGAGAUAGGACUUUUUUGCUAUUUUGUUGGUUUGCGCAAAGAGGUAAUGAUUAAUAGGGACAGUUGGGGGUAUUCGUAUUCCAUUGUCAGAGGUGAAAUUCUUGGAUUUUUGGAAGACGAACUACUGCGAAAGCAUUUACCAAGGAUGUUUUCAUUAA
rnacentral:rRNA from 1 species